rnacentral:lncRNA from 1 species
CUGAUGUAGUUCAUACCAGAAGUCAACUUGCGGGCUGAAUAAAAAAGAUGAUGUUGUUUAAAAUUAAGCAUAGCAAAAAGUAAGUGAUAAAUUCACUAAUAUAAAUUAGGUUAAAAAAAUAAGAUCUUAUGAAGACAUCUGGAGCAAAAUAAUCUACAAGUAACUACAUAAUUUCUAACAUGGUACCUUGUUCCAUGGCUUUCGAAAGCUAAAGGGAUUUUACAUCAGAAAAAAAAACAAAAACAGAAACAAAAUCUACCUACUGAUAUAAAAAAUAUCCAAACAGUAGUGGUGUGCCUGAUUGUACCAUUAACUUCAUUUUUAUACAGGCCCUGGUUUUCUCUAGCAUUUUUCUCUAAUCAGAUAGAUAAGUUGACUCUCUACCAGUGAAACUGAAAUGAUGAAUUUAAUGUUCUUGUGCCAAAUAAAUGUAUUACAUUAUGUCGCCGGAGAGUUUAACUUUGUCAAGUAGCUGUGUUGAGUUUCAAAUUCUUGUCACUAGAGGAAUCAGGAGGGAUUGUACAAAAAAAUCAUUGCAAUCUACCAUGGCAUAAAAAUUAGUUGAGAAUACUCGUCUUUACUAAAUAUCCACCUUUUUCCAGCUUUAUUGAGAAAUAAUUGACAUAGAACAUUGUGUAAAUUUCGUGUGUUGAUACAUAUUAUAUAUGCGUAUGUGUAUAUAUGUAUAUAUUUCAAUGUGAUUUUCAACAUGAUGUUAGCUAAUACCUCCAUAUCAUCAUAAUUACUAUUUAUUUUUUGUGGUGUAAACAUCCACAUUUUAAAUAUAUCUUUGAGUAAUUAUAUCUAUACAGUGAAUUGUACAUAAUAUACUUCAUCCUCUUUUUUUCUACUCUUUAUUUUGUUGCUUUAAAAAAUUGCUUUAUCCCUACCUUAAACUAAUAAUUAUGGUUUAAGAAACAAAAAAUUAUUUAUGAUAAUUAUCAAAAUGCAGUUGAUUUGUUAAAAUAAUUUAAUGUCAUGCUUCCUCUACAGCAUUGGCUAAUUGUUCUUUAAUGGUCUUAGAAUUUUUGUCUCAACAAACUUGCUGAGAAAAACUGUAUUUAUGUAAACUUUUGUAUAAGCUAGGGGAGAAAACUCCUAUAUCAAAUUUAGCAUGUUAGAAUGAUCCAUUUCUUUUUUUUCUUGUUCUAUCACAAGAUAAAUUAGGUGGAAAUAGAACAUUUAUUAACAAUAACAUGCAACUAAUGAUUUUUGUCCCAUAUUUUAAUUUAAUUCUACUUAAGUCUGUUGUUUUUUACAUUACUUGAAUUUUAUUAUAUUUAUAGUUGUACAAUGAUCAUCACAACCAAACUUUAUAACAUUUCCAUCCCAAACCCCUAGGGCAUCCUCCCACCCCCCCAAAACUGUUUCAUUUGGAAACCAUAAGGUUUUCAAAGUUUGUGAGUCAGUAUCUGUUCCGCAAAGAAUUUCAUUGUGUCCCUUUUUUAGAUUCCACAUGUAGGUGAUAGCAUUUGAUGUUGGUGUCUCACUGUCUGACUGACUUCACUUAGCAUGAUAAUUUCUCGGUCCAUACAUGUUGCUGCAAAUGCAGUUAUUUCUUUCCGUUUAAUGGCUAAGUAAUAUUCCAUUGUGUAAAUGUACCACAUCUUCUUUAUAAAGUUUGUUCUUUAGGCGACAUAACCAUGCAGAGAUUCUUACCUUUCUUUUUCAAAUUUAUUUCUCAUAGAACAGACUAAAAUACCAGUGAGUUUAUAUAAACAUAUAGAAAUUACUAAAGAAUGUCUAGGUAGUAUAUUAAAGAAGUAAAAAUAAUUAAAUAGAAAAUGUGAAAAGAAAUUUAUGUAUUAUUUCUUUGAUAAAGUAUCAUGUAAUCCUUUGUUACCAGUGUUCCCUUUACCUGAAAUUUCUUUGUGCAUACAAAAUUUUAUGAAGGCAACUUGGACAAAUUAAGUGUUUUAUGGGCAUAAUGAUUAUUAAAUGUUUACUCAAUAUUUUUCCAAAUUAUGUCACGUCUCAUUAUUGAUACUGAUACUGAAUUUUUCCUGUCUGUGGCAUUAUGCUUUCUUAUGUCUAUUAUUUUUCUAACUUUGUCCAUUUAUUAUUCACUUACCUCUCUCAUUUUACGUACUAAAAUUUUCAUAUGAGAUCUGUUCUCUUUUCUCUAUAGUAACUGCAUCACUUCAUAAUCAAUCUUUACAAAUUCAAUAUUUACAUUUAUUCUAAAAAUUAUAUUAUGUGACAAAUUCCCUUCUGAAAAAUCUAAAUAUAUUGUAUAUUCAUUUUUUUUAUCCUCACUUCUAGCUCAUGUUUAAAGCUACUCAUUAUCUCUUAUACCAAGUUGACUCCUCUUCCUCAACACAUAUUUUUUUAAUCAGUGAUGCUAUGACUAACCUAUUCACCAAGCCAGCUAUUUUUGGAACAUACAUGUCUGAUUCUUUCUCCACUCCAUCACUUUUAUAAUGAUAACAAUAGACCACUGAAAGACAAUAGGCAGGUUUCUAGAUCGAACUGGUUGACAUUGGUAAAUCAGUUAACCUAGGGAGUUCCCAAGUGGCUCAGUGGGUUAAGGAUCUGGCAUUGUCACUGCUAUGGCACAGGUUCGAUCCCUAGCUCAGAGACUUCUACCUGUUGCAAAUGUGGCCAAAAUAAAAUAAAAUAAGUCAGUUUACUUUCAGCUUCUAAGUGUAUUAUAUCUAAAAUAGUGGUAUUAGACCAUUAUUCAAAGAGCUCUUCAAAGAGCUGAUAUUACUUACAUUUUCACUCUUUAAUAAUACAUUUUAAUAAAAAUAAUUUCUUAGUUUUUAUUUAGAUCAUUUUAUCACUGUUUUUAUUUAAGGUUAGUAUACAUGUGUGUGUGUGUCCCUGUAUAAGUAAUAUUUCUCUGCCCCAAGGUCAAUGGGAUAUAUGCCUUGGUUUCCUGCUCUUUAUAUAUACCUCCCCCACAAUGUGGGCAAGUUAUACCAUUAGGUUUACUUUGGUAGCUGUAGAACAUUUAAUCAAUUUAGAAUAGAUUUUUAUUUACAGACCAUGAAGUAAGGGUCAAGAUUAUUUUUUAAAUUAAUAUUUUAACUAAACAAUUUUAUUUAAAAUACCUUAAUCUCCAUUACACUCAAGUGCUGUAUGUCGUUUUGGUCUACUUUCUACCCUUUACCAAUAGCACAUUGUUAUAAUAUCUUGCUAUUUUUAGUCUUUGACUUUGCACAUUCAUUUUAAGAUUGGUGUUUGAAAUUUUAAAACCAGGCAAAUUGACAAAAAACAAGUCAAAAAAACCUCUGCACAAUUUCUAAAGGAGUUCAUUGAAUCUGUGGUAAAUUCUGGAAGAAUUGACAUCUUUAUAACACUGGAUCUUCCAUUAAAUGAUAUAGUAUAAUCCUUCAUCUUUGCAAAUAUGUUUAGUGUUGUUUUUAGUAUAUUUUGUAAAUUUUUGGUUGGACCUCUUGCACAUGUUUCAUUAAUUUUGCUUCAUACUUCUUUCAUUGGUAUACUCAGCCUAUGUGAGACCUCCUUUUCACAGUCUUGGACUGUAUCACAGAGAUCUUGGACCCUUUUUUUCAUUGAUUUUGAAAUAUUAUAGCAGAUUUAUUUUUAGUAUUAAAAAUUUAGUGUCAUUUAAAUCAAAGUAUCCAUUUCAAAGCAUUUUAUUUUAGCCUAAAUUUCAAACUGACUCUUGGUUUUAAAAUCCUUUAUUAGAGAAGAAAGUUUAUAUCUUUUCUUUUAAUAUCCUUAAUCCAGUUUAUCCUCCAAACAUUCUACUGCUUCUGACAUCUUCACUGUCAAGGGGCAGAUAAGGAAAAAAGGAUGUCAGAUGGAAAUGUCAGUGUCUUACAUGACAAGGGAAAGUAUAAUUUGGUCUUCAGUAACCUUGGUGAUGUUAACCCAUAUGCUGCCUUUUUUAACCACAUUUUUUCUGAGUGCUUCCAGCAACCCUGUCCCCACUCCAAGUCUAGCCUCCCAAUCAGGUAGACCCUCCUUUCUUAACUAUCUCUUGAUGUAUACAUUAUAUCCUUAGUUGAACUCUUGUAACUCUCACUCUGCUUUUGACCAUAUUCUAUAACCUUAGGCUCCCUACUUCAUAAGCCAGCCCUGUUAGGUGGGAUUUUUUUCCAGAUAACUUAAGCCUGGAUACCUUAUUCAUUGUGCAUAUGAUUCACCUAAAAUAUGAAAAUCUGGAAGAGCAAACCAUACUUGUUCUUGGACUCAUUUCCCUCCAAUACCCCUGAUACAGACAAUGCAUCCCUUCUGGAUUAGAAAAAUCCCUUCUAGGAGAGAGUCAGGUAUCCAUUUUUAAUCCUCCCAAAUUUCAAGAACAUGUGCCAGUUUUUAUUAAUAAUUCUCUUGUGCUCAUUCAAAGAGCAGCUUGGAGUCAAUGUAAGAGUUUCUGGAAGUUCCUUAGUGGACAAGUAGUUAAGGACUCAGUGUUGCCCCAGCUGUGGUUUGAGUUACUGCGGUGUCUGUUUCAGCCCCUGGCCUAGGAACUUACAUUGUCAGAGGCAAAGCCAAAAAUAGACCUUCUGAAGCUUAUGAAGCAUUGACCCAGGUGUAAUCUGUGACUCUUCCUCAUGGAGAUUAGCACUCCCAGUAUCUCAAGGAGAUCUCUUGAUGCCAUCUCACUUGGCUUGGAAGUAGAACUGAGUGCAGGAAUGAAAAAUGCUUGGCAUUCUUUCUUCAUAUAAAUCAAUUAAAGGCCUCCUAUGAGCUCUUUAGUAUUCUCUUAUAUGGACUGAUUUUGGUGAUGAUUUCUUAACCAAUUUGCCUAUCUUUUACCAUGUCUUGCUUAAAGGUGAAAAGCAAAUUCUUGUUCAAUAAAACAUUAAAAUUCUAACUUAGUAUCAUGUUGUAUAGUGAAAUGCCUAGUUCACACUAAACAUGCAAUAAUUACAUUAUUAGCACUUGGAGCUUAAAAAGUAAUGAUGUGUGUUAGAAGGAAAAUGGAAUUUACAUUACGUUACCUCAUUUUUCCUUUGUAUAUGUAUCCUUGGUCAAGUUAGUAAACUUCUACAUGUCUCAGUUUGUAGAUAUAAAUAUACCCUCAUCAUACGUGACUUGUAAUAAACUCUGAGAUCCUUUCCACCUAUAAUGACCUAUAAUUCUACCUGGUAUUUAAUCAAUACAAAAUGAGUAUUGAGUUUAAUUUAUUAAAACUAUGUGUUCAAACACAAAUGUAAAAAGAGCUUUAUUUUAGCUUUCAUCAUCUAAAAUAGGGAUAGAAUCACCACAGAUGAAUGCAGAUUCAAUUCCCAUGAAGAUGAAAAUAUACUCUUAAGGGAAUCUCAAGCAUAUAAAUUCUUUUGGGUCCAGGUUUGUUGGGCAUAGCUGUUGGAUACUUAGGAACACACCAAAGAAUGCUUUUCUUAACUUUGAUUACAUCCCAGAAUGUUUUAUUGUAAGACUUGGAUAUUGCUCUUUGGAGUACUGCAGUUGGAGUGGAGUGUCAUGUUAGAAGUUGAG